rnacentral:rRNA from 1 species
UGGGGAAUAUUGCACAAUGGGCGCAAGCCUGAUGCAGCCAUGCCGCGUGUAUGAAGAAGGCCUUCGGGUUGUAAAGUACUUUCAGCGGGGAGGAAGGUGUUGUGGUUAAUAACCGCAGCAAUUGACGUUACCCGCAGAAGAAGCACCGGCUAACUCCGUGCCAGCAGCCGCGGUAAUACGGAGGGUGCAAGCGUUAAUCGGAAUUACUGGGCGUAAAGCGCACGCAGGCGGUCUGGCAAGUCGGAUGUGAAAUCCCCGGGCUCAACCUGGGAACUGCAUUCGAAACUGGCAGGCUAGAGUCUUGUAGAGGGGGGUAGAAUUCCAGGUGUAGCGGUGAAAUGCGUAGAGAUCUGGAGGAAUACCGGUGGCGAAGGCGGCCCCCUGGACAAAGACUGACGCUCAGGUGCGAAAGCGUGGGGAGCAAACA